UACAGAGGUCCCAAGCGUUGUUCGGAUUCACUGGGCGUAAAGGGUGCGUAGGUGGCCGGUUAAGUCUGACGUGAAAUCUCCGAGCCUAACUCGGAAACUGCAUCGGAAACUAGCCGGCUCGAGGGUUGGAGGGGGGACUGGAAUACUUGGUGUAGCAGUGAAAUGCGUAGAUAUCAAGUGGAACACCAGUGGCGAAGGCGAGUCCCUGGACAACUCCUGACACUGAGGCACGAAAGCUAGGGGAGCAAACAGG
rnacentral:rRNA from 1 species